AUGUGGUGUGUGUGUGUGUGUGUGUGUGUGUAUAGUAUAUAUCCCAGUUUUUUUGUGGUAAAAUUAGGUGCCUCGGCUUAUAUUCGGGUUGGCUUAUACUUGAGUAUAUACGGUGUGUGUGUGUGUGUGUGUGUGUGUGUGUGUGUGUGUGUGUAUAUAUAUAUAUAUAUAUAUAUAUAUAUAUAUAUAUAUAAAAUAAAUGAGAACCUGCAAAGAGUCAGAGUGGUAUGGCUUGACUAUAGGACAACUACACUGGAAGAGCAGGGUUUACAUACCCACUUUGCCAUGCAAACCCAUUGGGUAGCUUUGGCCUUAUCACACUCUCUCAGCCUAAAAGGAAGGCAAGGGCAAAUUCUGCCAAGAAAGACCAGUGAUAUGAUCACCUUUGGGUUACCACAAGUUAGAAAUGACUUAAAGGGACUCAAGAACAACCACACAACUUAUCAACAUGGCUUUACAACUGUUAUUUGGCAAAACUUGUAUAGCAAAGGUUUUUACAAAUAGAUUGCUGGUAGUAGGAAAUCUCUGCAAGUCCAAACCCUUGAUAUCAUACAGUGUGCACUCUCAAACUGAACUGGUAGGCACACAUUCACUAUGCAAGCAUGUAAAGUGUACCCCUCUACAAUUUGCAUGGAGCCCAAUAUUUCUGGGGAGCUGCCAUUGAGAAUUUUGAAGAGUUCAUAUACAUGAGAGGUAAUAAUGAGGGAAAGUAGAAAAUCUGAAAGAACAAAGAGAUUAAGAAGAGCAUAGGGGAAGGGUGACUAUUACAAAGAAUAUCUAAUGAAUACAGAGAAGGAUCAAACUUUAGCUAAUGUUCUCAGUGCACAAGUAAUUCAGCAAGAGCUUGGAAUUCAGGUAACAUCAAGAUGCAUUCCAAUCCCAACUUUUAGAAAUAGGCAAGCCUAUGUUAAUACGAUGUUGAAGGCUUUCAUGGCUGGAAUCACUAGGUUGUGGUGCAUUUUCUGGGCUGUAUGGCCAUGUUCCAGAAGCAUUCUCUCCUGACGUUUUGCCUACAUCUAUGGCAGGCAUCCUUAGAGGUUGUGAGGUAUAUUGGAAUACCAAGUAAGGGAGGUUUAUAUAUCUGUGGAAGGUAUAGGGUGGGAGAAAGAACUCUUGUAAUGGUGAAUGUUGUAAUUAGUCACCUUGAUUAGCAUUAAUGGCCUUGCCAGAUUCAUUCUUGCCUGGGGGAAUCCUUUGUUCAAAGGUGUUAGCUACUCCUGAUUGAUUAAUGUCUGUAAUUCCUCUGUUUUCAGAGUGUUCUUUAUUUACUGUUCUGAUUUUAGAGUUUUUUAAUACUGUAGCCAGAUUUUGUUCAUUUUCAUGGUUUCCUCCUUUCUGUUGAAAUUGUCCACAUGCUUGUGGAUUUCAGUGGCUUCUCUGUGUAGUCUGACAUGAUAGCUGUUAGAGUGGUCCAGCAUUUCUGUGUCCUCAAAUAUUAUGAUGUGCCCACGUUGGUUCAUCAAGUGCUCUACUAUGGCUGACUUCUCUAGUUGAGUUAGUCUGCAGCACCUUUCGUGUUCCUUGAUUUGUGUUCCUUGAUUCUAUGUUAAUAUAUUGUGUUCCAUCCCAUCCCAUCCUAUUUGUUUUGUUUGAAAUUAAAUUCAAUACUUUUAAAAUUGUUCCUAUGCCUUUCUUCCUACUUUGACUCUUCUUACUGAUGACAUUAUUUUCAGGAAAUGUUGAGAUUCAUUAGCAUCCUAGAGCCUGUAUUGUCAGACAUGAAGACAGCGGAUCUUCAUUAUUGUAGUUACAUCCGAAUAUAUCGCCUUCCAAAAACCAACUUUUCUAUCUAAGCAGAAUCCCAACUGGAGGGCUUCUAAAACACUACAUGAAAUGCUGGGAAAUGACAUCCAUAGUUCUCUCCCAGUCACGUGGCAUGUUGAAGAAAGACAGAUUAAGAGACAGAUAUGAUCUUGCUGCAAAUGCAUGUCUCAAUGUUUCCUGUGACAGGGGUCCUCCAGACAUCACUCCUUAGUGCUCCAAUCUACUAUGCCUUGGAAGCUCUUCAGUUGAGACACUGCCUGGCAACAGUAAUAUUCAACUUUAAACACGAACUCUAAAAGCUAUGAGACUGUAAAUCUGGUUUACAAUGCUGUAACUACUACUACUACUACUACUACUAAUAAUAAUAAUAAUAAUAAUACUGAAAGAAAAUUGCACAGACAGACUACAAACAGA
rnacentral:lncRNA from 1 species